rnacentral:rRNA from 1 species
CUACGGGAUGCAGCAGUCGAGAAUCUUUUACAAUGCGCGAAAGCGUGAUAGAGCGAAUCAGAGUGUUUUUCAAUUUGAAAGACUUUUGGAAAAUCUAAAAAGUUUUCCGAAUAAGGACUGGGUAAGACGAGUGCCAGCCGCCGCGGUAAUACUCGCGGUCCAAGUCGCAGCCAUUUUUAUUGGGUCUAAAACAUCCGUAGCUUGCUUAAUAAGUUUCUUGUGAAAUUUCAUGUCUUAAAUGUGAAGCGUGCAAGAAAUACUGUUAAGCUAGAGACUGGAAGACGGAAGAAGUACAUUCGGAGUAGCGGUUAAAUGUGUUAAUCCCGAAUGGACUCACAAUUAGCGAAGGCAUCUUUCGAGAACAGUUCUGACAGUAAGGGAUGAAGGCCAGGGGCGCAAAACGGAUUAGAUACCCGGGUAGUC